rnacentral:rRNA from 1 species
AACGAACGCUGGCGGCAUGCCUAACACAUGCAAGUCGAACGAUGCCUUCGGGCAUAGUGGCGCACGGGUGCGUAACGCGUGGGAAUCUGCCCUUGGGUUCGGAAUAACUCAGAGAAAUUUGAGCUAAAUACCGGAUGACGACGUAAGUCCAAAGAUUUAUCGCCCAAGGAUGAGCCCGCGUAAGAUUAGCUAGUUGGUGGGGUAAAGGCCUACCAAGGCGACGAUCUUUAGCUGGUCUGAGAGGAUGAUCAGCCACACUGGGACUGAGACACGGCCCAGACUCCUACGGGAGGCAGCAGUGGGAAUAUUGGACAAUGGGCGAAAGCCUGAUCCAGCAAUGCCGCGUGAGUGAUGAAGGCCUUAGGGUUGUAAAGACUCUUUUACCAGGGAUGAUAAUGACAGUACCUGGAGAAGUAAGCUACCGGCUAACUACCGUGCCAGCAGCCG